AAUCCCUGUGAAGAACAAUUUCCAUAAUUAAAAGUAGUGGGCUGAUGUCUCCAUUGAUGAACAAUGAGUCUGAGGGAAU